GUACCAUCAUGAAUAAAGCAAAUUACAUUGACCACCUGGGUUUAAAUGGCCAGCUUCCAUCUUUUGGUGUUAUUUCUUUGAAAUAAAAUGUAUCUCACAUUUAAUUUGGGAGUAAGAAAACAUAACAUAAAGAAAUAAUGCAAACUUCAAUGCCAUGGGGGGUGUGGCUUACAUGUGUGCCUUAAAACGUGUUUAUAUAUAAGAGGAAUUAACUUGCUUUGUGUAUAAAAGAGCUAUAGUUCUUCAAAGAGCGGGCAUCUGAUCCCAGAACUGAGUUCACUGAGAUUAAAUUGUGCUCUGGGAAUUGAAGGUGUCCUCAGACCCUGGAAAUCCAAAAUGCAAAUGAAGAAGAAAUCAGGAGGUGUAAACACUGAAGGGAAUGAAUGUUUUCUGAAAUCCAGGCAGAAGAGAGACUGCUUGGCAAAAUGGUUGCACAGAACAAACUUGGAAUUUUCAGACUGAAAAAACAAAAACCUGAAAACAACUUCCCCAAAGACAAGGACCCACUUAAUGGAAGGAGAGAACUGACAAGAAAGUUGGCCUCUGACUUCCACAUGGGUGCUAUGGUACAACUGCUUCUAAGUCUCUGGAAGGUUCCAGUGUCCCAGGAGUUCCACAUGCACUCUAAGAUGAUUAUACCACUUUGCUACCAGCUUGCAGUAUUUUCAGUGCUGCAGAAAAGAGUUGCUGCACGAUGAGGAUUUCUGGCGAUGAGAAGCAGAGCUCAUCACUGGCAGGUUAGAUUCUGAAUCAUGGCCUACUAACUAAACCCCGGAGUGCCACACCUUGGAAACACAGAAGACAGAAGUCUCAGUGCGUCAUUUUUCUAGUUGCUUUCAAGGUAUCAUUAAGUGCUGCCUAAGAGUACCCUUCUAGUGCAAAAUGUGUUGUUCAGGAUUCUGUCCAGAUGCUGUUGGGCUGCUUCAAGGAGACUUCAAAUGGUCCUACUAGUGAGCCACCUUAUCGACCUUCACUCUGACAUUUGGCUUGGCUGCGUUUGAAGUGGUCCCAUGAGUGAGUCAUCUUACCGACCUUCACUUUGCCAUUUGGCUCGACUGCAUAUCAGAUGUUGUUGAAACCAAAACUAGUGGAUCCCUCUUCUUUCCAGGGAAGACUACAUUUUAGAAAUCUCCACAAUUACAACUUUAAACUGAAGCCAGAAAAUACAUUUUUUUGAAACUAAUCAGUCAGCAGAUCACCUGUCAUCCAACUGUGUGCCAUAUACAUAUAAUUUCAAGAAACAUUGGCCAUCAAGUACUUAAAAUUUUAGGGAUUUGGGCAACACCCAAUGCAGAACAGAUGAAUUUCAUGGUUUCUUUAUGCAUUUGCACAAAUUAAAAUAUAAGUCUUCACUUGGUUCGUUUGAACCCCUUUCUUCAAUUAGCUCUGUAUGCAGAGAAGGCCAGACAGCAGUUUUCAGAGAGCAAUCAAGAUUCUUCUGCAUGUUGUUACCUCUGUGUGUGAACGCCACUCUGACAGGGCAAAUUCUUGGAUUAAAAGUUGAUUGUACUCUA
rnacentral:lncRNA from 1 species